CCUAAAGCAUCCGUAGCCGGUUGCAUAAGUUUUCGGUUAAAUCUAUGCGCUUAACGUAUAGGCCGCCGAAAAUACUGUGCAGCUAGGGAGUGGGAGAGGUACACGGUACUCGAUAGGAAGGGGUAAAAUCCUUUGAUCUAUUGAUGACCACCCGUGGCGAAGGCGGUGUACCAGAACACGUUCGACGGUGAGGGAUGAAAGCUGGGGGAGCAAACCGGAUUAGAUACCCGGGUAGUCCCAGCUGUAAACGAUGCAGACUCGGUGAUGCAUUGGCUUGUGGCCAAUGCAGUGCCGCAGGGAAGCCGUUAAGUCUGCCGCCUGGGAAGUACGUACGCAAGUAUGAAACUUAAAG
rnacentral:rRNA from 1 species